rnacentral:rRNA from 1 species
AGCGAACGCUGGCGGCAGGCCUAACACAUGCAAGUCGAACGAACCUUUCGGGGUUAGUGGCGGACGGGUGAGUAACACGUGGGAACGUGCCUUUAGGUUCGGAAUAACUCAGGGAAACUUGUGCUAAUACCGAAUGUGCCCUUCGGGGGAAAAAUUUAUCGCCUUUAGAGCGGCCCGCGUCUGAUUAGCUAGUUGGUUGAGGUAAUGGCUCACCAAGGCGACGAACAGUAGCUGGUCUGAGAGGAUGAUCAGCCACAUUGGGACUGAGACACGGCCCAAACUCCUACGGGAGGCAGCAGUGGGGAAUCUUGCGCAAUGGGCGAAAGCCUGACGCAGCCAUGCCGCGUGAAUGAUGAAGGUCUUAGGAUUGUAAAAUUCUUUCACCGGGGACGAUAAUGACGGUACCCGGAGAAGAAGCCCCGGCUAACUUCGUG